CUGACUGAAGCAAAGCUAAGCACUGGCUGGUACACAGACUAUCAAGCAAGGUAUUGGAGAUUCUGGGUCCCAAAGUAUAGUCCUGUCAAAGGGCUCCAGAGAGCCCUGCAUCCUCUGCUACUACUUUUGAGAGCACUCUUUCUGACAGUCUUGAACAACAUGAUGGUAGGAGGCAUUACUGAAGCAAAAGACUAGGGUGUUCCAGGUUUUUUUUUCUUCUAACUUGGAAAGGAUAAUGUCUACCUUGGAGACAGUAGGAUUUAUUGUAACUGAUUCCCUCUGGAGUUGCCUGAAGAGCACAGCUGUUAAAAAUAACCCAGAGGAAAUCAGCAUAAAUUCUAACUGGGACCCAAAGGAGUCCAAUUCCCAAGUGAAGACUGGCACAGAGAUUGUAACUAUCUCCCAGGGCCAAAAUGCUAGUAAAAACCUUAUGGAUCCAAGCUUCAUAUCGUGCUGUUAUUUAACAUGUGUUUCAAAUGGAGUCUCACAGCAGAGUGAUUUUAAGGACAUUCUUUCCGGUUUAAAGCCAUCAAGGGAAGGCAGCAUUGUGUUUCAAGAAUGAAUAAAAAAGCUGCUUCAAACUUCCUCCAAAGUGGAAAAACUGUGAAUAUCAAAUCUGCCUGAGUGAAGAUGUAGCCAUUGAAGAAUGGAAAAUGGGGGAUACUUAAGGCAAAGAGAAGAAAAAAAAAUUAAACUGCUCCAGAGACAAUGAAACUGAGAGGAGCUCUUAAUUAUGUAUUUUAAUUGCAAAGAAAAAAGCUAAUGCCUGAGGUCCUCUUUAUAUUAAAUAAUUUCAUCAUA